rnacentral:rRNA from 1 species
GGCUCGCAGGCGGUUUCUUAAGUCUGAUGUGAAAGCCCCCGGCUCAACCGGGGAGGGUCAUUGGAAACUGGGGAACUUGAGUGCAGAAGAGGAGAGUGGAAUUCCACGUGUAGCGGUGAAAUGCGUAGAGAUGUGGAGGAACACCAGUGGCGAAGGCGACUCUCUGGUCUGUAACUGACGCUGAGGAGCGAAAGCGUGGGGAGCGAACAGGAUUAGAUACCCUGGUAGUCCACGCCGUAAACGAUGAGUGCUAAGUGUUAGGGGGUUUCCGCCCCUUAGUGCUGCAGCUAACGCAUUAAGCACUCCGCCUGGGGAGUACGGUCGCAAGACUGAAACUCAAAGGAAUUGACGGGGGCCCGCACAAGCGGUGGAGCAUGUGGUUUAAUUCGAAGCAACGCGAAGAACCUUACCAGGUCUUGACAUCCUCUGACGAUCCUAGAGAUAGGACGUCCCCUUCGGGGGCAGAGUGACAGGUGGUGCAUGGGUGUCGUCAGCUCGUGUCGUGAGAUGUUGGGUUAAGUCCCGCAACGAGCGCAACCCUUGAUC